CAGUGUGUGAGGAGCAAAACAGAAAGGGCACCGAGACGAAACACGGUCAGUCGUCGGUGCCCUUCCUG
rnacentral:sRNA from 1 species